rnacentral:lncRNA from 1 species
AGGUCAUUGCUGCUGGGGUGACAUUGCUUAGAUACCAUUUUCUACCAUUUCUUGGGACAGAGUUAGAAAAGAGAGAUUUUAGAAAUCGUGAGGUCAUAUUUAUAAUUUUCCAUUUCAUUUUAACAUUACAGUAUUUUAAUUUUUCUUUGAUUUCACAAUUACAUCUUUUUUCCUAAACUGAAAAUCUCAUUUUUGACUUUAACAGAAUUACUUAUUUUGUUUUCUCCUACAAAGUGAAAGAAUAGUAUCAAAAUAACAAGAUAUUAUUAUUAACAAUAACUCUACAACGUUUACUGUAGUGAGAGAGCUAGUGAAGUGUGAAACGUCUUUAUAGUUCUUUUCAAUCCUACACAACAUCCCAGUGAAUAUGUAUAAAGUACAACACAUUUUUUUCUAUUAGUUAUGUUAACAAUUAGAUAUAUGGUUAGAUUCAUUUGUUAUGUGUUGUUUUCAAUUUUUAGGUAUUUUUUAAAGGUAACUUUUUGUUGACUUUUAUUUUGAAAUAAUUUCAGAUUUACAGAAAAAAUUAAAAAUAGUACAAAGAAAUCCCAUAUAUCCUUCACUCCAAUUCCUCAAAUAUUAAGAAUUUGUCAUACUUGCUUUAUUAUUUUCUUCUCUUUCUUUAUGUCUUUAUGCAUAUUUAAGCAUUUUUUUCCUGGUCCAUAUGAGAGUAAAUUGCUGAUGUAAUGCCCCUUUACCACUAAAUAUUUCCGUGUUGGUGUCCUGAGAAUAAGGACAUUUGUAUUCUGGUGCAGUGUUCAAUCGUGGAUCGCAGGUUGCAUUUCAUUGUCAUUCCUUGUGGUCUCCUGUAACCUCGGACAAUUCCUCAGUCUUUUCUUACUUUAGUGAUCUUCACAUUUUAGAAGAGAACGGGCCAUUUAUUUUAUAGAACAAUCCUUAAUUUGGGUUUGUCUUCUGUUUUCUCAUGAUUUGAUCUAUGAUAUGUAUUUUUCUCAAAGAAACAAGCCAAGAGAACUGUACAAGCGCUGUCGUGUCCUUCCUGUGCAUUGUGUCCUGAGGAACGUGGUGGCGUUUGUCCCAUCACAGCUUUGAUGAAGCAAUUGGCCAUGUUGGGGGUCCCAGGUGGUGAGGAACUGUGGGCCGCUUCCAGGACCUCCAGUACUCCAGCAAUAAGCCAUGGCCCUUGGUCAUACAGCUUCAAGGAAAUGAAAUCCACCAACAACUUGAGUGAGGAGUAGAUGGUUCCUUCCCCAGCUGAGCCACCAGAUGAGAGCCCCGCCCUGAUGGCGGCCUUGCAGAGAACCCAGCUAAGCUGUUCCUGGACUGCUGACCCACCAGGACUGUAAUAUAAUAGCUGCUAAUUAGUGGUAAUUUGUUAUGGAGC